rnacentral:rRNA from 1 species
GACGGAGGGUGCAAGCGUUGUUCGGAUUGACUGGGCGUAAGGGCGUGUAGGCGGUUGGUCAAGUCCGAUGUGAAAGCCCGGGGCUCAGCUUCGGAAGUGCAUCGGAAACUAGCCAGCUGGAGCGCGAUAGAGGAGGGCGGAAUUCCUGGUGUAGCGGUGAAAUGCGUAGAUAUCAGGAGGAACACCGGCGGCGAAGGCGGCCCUCUGGAUCGUUGCUAACGCUGAGACGCGAAAGCGUGGGGAGCAAACAGG